AAACUGCUGCGAUAAAAAAUUAUUAUUUUCACCUUAAAUGCAUCUAUACUGCCCACGUCAUUCGGGAGACAACUGGCCAGCAUCAUUUCACCUUUGCUCAACCCUAAAAUUUACACAAAUGAUUAUAUUAGAUUAUAUCUGAGGUCAUUUUAAUAUUUGGAUACUAUUAUGUAACAUAUAAAUUAUUCUAUAUACAACAACUUAUAUAAAUAGUUUCCUUACCAGCUCGAAUGAAACCUUUGGCCAAAGCCUGAGCCAUCUUACCGCCUCCUAUGAAUCCAAUCUUCAACAUUUUUGUGUCGAUAUUCAAUGCGAUCUU